rnacentral:rRNA from 1 species
AUGAAAGAAAGAGAAGCCGGAGUGCCUACCACAAAGAUGAGCAGAAGAAGGGGAGUUCGCUGGGAUGGAGGCGCUGGUGGCCUGGCCGUGGCCGUUGAGGAGGUGGGGGUAGAGGAGUUGAGUGCUGGCCAGGGCCAGGCGGGGCAGGAAGUGAGCGCUGGUCUGGAGGAGCCCGACGGAGAAGCAAGGACGACGAGGGGCCUGGCGGAGGGCCAAAGAGGAGCACUGGCCUGGAGGAGCCCGGCGGAGAAGCAGGGACGACGAGGGGCCUGGCGGAGGGCCAAAGAGGAGCACUGGCCCGGAGGAGCCCGGUGGAGAAGCAGGGACGACGAGGGGCCUGGCGGAGGGCCAAAGAGGAGCACUGGCCUGGAGGAGCCCGGCGGAGGGGCAAAGAGGGGCGCUGUCCUGGAGGAGCCCGGCGGAGGAUCCUAG